GUUUCAGGGCGAGGUGAAAUUCCUCACCGGCGGUCACAGUCCGCGAACUGCGCGCAGCAAUGCGCCGCAGCCGAACCGGUGAAAUUCCGGUACCGACGGUACAGUCCGGAUGGAAGAAA
rnacentral:ncRNA from 1 species